CCAAUAGCGUAUAUUAAAGUUGCUGCAGUUAAAAAGCUCGUAGUUGAAUUUCGGGACUAAUAUGUCGGUCGUGCCUCGGUACGUACUGGUAUUUUUGGUUUCUCCCUUCUGACGAACCUUGAUGUCAUUAAUUUGGUGUCUUGGGAAAUCAGGACUGUUACUUUGAAAAAAUUAGAGUGUUUAAAGCAGGCUCACGCUUGAAUACAUUAGCAUGGAAUAAUGAAAUAGGACGUUUGAUUCUAUUUUGUUGGUUUCUAGGAUCGACGUAAUGAUUAAUAGGGAUUGUUGGGGGCAUUAGUAUUCAAUUGUCAGAGGUGAAAUUCUUGGAUUUAUUGAAGACUAACUACUGCGAAAGCAUUUGCCAAGGAUGUUUUCAUUAAUCAAGAACGAAAGUUAGGGGAUCGAAGACGAUCAGAUACCGUCGUAGUCUUAACCAUAAACUAUGCCGACUAGGGAUCGGAUGAUGUUAAUUUUUUAAUGACUCAUUCGGCGCCUUACG
rnacentral:misc_RNA from 1 species